rnacentral:tRNA from 1 species
UAGAAUAUAGCUAAAUGUAUAGCAUUUCUUUUACACCGAAAAGUUGCCCUUGACAGGGGCUGUUCUAA